UGGGGAAUAUUGGACAAUGGGCGCAAGCCUGAUCCAGCCAUGCCGCGUGUGUGAAGAAGGCCUUCGGGUUGUAAAGCACUUUCAGUUGGGAGGAAGGGUUGUGUGUUAAUAGUACACAGCCUUGACGUUACCAACAGAAGAAGCACCGGCUAACUCUGUGCCAGCAGCCGCGGUAAUACAGAGGGUGCAAGCGUUAAUCGGAAUUACUGGGCGUAAAGCGCACGUAGGCGGUUUUUUAAGUCAGAUGUGAAAGCCCCGGGCUCAACCUGGGAAUUGCAUUUGAAGCUGGAAAACUAGAGUGUGUGAGAGGGGGGUAGAAUUCCAAGUGUAGCGGUGAAAUGCGUAGAGAUUUGGAGGAAUACCAGUGGCGAAGGCGGCCCCCUGGCACAACACUGACGCUCAGGUGCGAAAGCGUGGGGAGCAAACAGGAUUAGAUACCCUGGUAGUCCACGCCGUAAACGAUGUCUACUAGCUGUUCGUGACCUUGUGUCGUGAGUAGCGCAGCUAACGCACUAAGUAGACCGCCUGGGGAGUACGGUCGCAAGAUUA
rnacentral:rRNA from 1 species